rnacentral:rRNA from 1 species
CCUACGGGGGGCAGCAGUGGGGAAUUUUGGACAAUGGGGGCAACCCUGAUCCAGCCAUGCCGCGUGCGGGAAGAAGGCCUUCGGGUUGUAAACCGCUUUUGUCGGGGAAGAAAUCCUCCGGGCUAAUACCCUGGGGGGAUGACGGUACCCGAAGAAUAAGCACCGGCUAACUACGUGCCAGCAGCCGCGGUAAUACGUAGGGUGCGAGCGUUAAUCGGAAUUACUGGGCGUAAAGCGUGCGCAGGCGGUUGUGCAAGACAGAUGUGAAAUCCCCGGGCUUAACCUGGGAACUGCAUUUGUGACUGCACGGCUGGAGUGCGGCAGAGGGGGAUGGAAUUCCGCGUGUAGCAGUGAAAUGCGUAGAUAUGCGGAGGAACACCGAUGGCGAAGGCAGUCCCCUGGGCCUGCACUGACGCUCAUGCACGAAAGCGUGGGGAGCA